rnacentral:ncRNA from 1 species
UGUGGAAUUGGCAACAAUUGGUAGGGGAGCAUUCCAUGAGCCGCAGAAGGUUUUCCUUGAGGAAUGCUGGAGGUGAUGGAAAAGCAAAUGUAGGUAUAAGUAACGAUAAAGAGGGCGAGAACCCCUCUCGCCGAAAGACCAAGGGUUCCUGAUCAACGCUAAUCGGAUCAGGGUCAGUCGGGCCCUAAGGCGCAGCCGAACGGCGCAGCCGAUGGCAGAAACGGUUAAUAUUCCGUUACUAUGAUACGGAGUGACGAGGAGACGGAGAAGUGACACUCUCGCCUGCUGACGGAAUAGCAGGUUGAACGGAGUAGAUAAUGACAUGGCAGGCAAAUCCGCCGUGACAGUCGAACCGGAUAGUACUGGGCGCCCCCGGGCAACCAGAUAGCAGAGGUAAUCAGGCUCCCGAGAAAAUCCCCUAAACAUAUGCGUAUCAUACCCGUACCCGAAACGGACACACGUGGUUGAGUAGAAAAUACUAAGGCGCUCGAGCGACUCACGGUUAAGGAACUAGGCAAAUUGACCCUGUAACUUCGGGACAAAGGGUCCCUCCCUGGUGGGAGGGCGCAGAGAAUAGGUC